AUGAAUGACACAGUAACUAUUCAGACCAGGAAAUUCAUGACCAACAGUCUGCUUCCACAGAAAAGAAUGGUCAUCGAUGUCCUUCACCCCGGGAAGGCAACAGUACCUAAGACAGAAAUUCGGGAAAAACUAGCCAAAAUGUACAAGACAACACCAGAUGUCAUCUUUGUAUUUGGAUUCAGAACUCAUUUUGGUGGUGGCAAGACAACUGGCUUUGGCACGGUUUAUGAUUCUUUGGAUUAUCCAAAGAAAAAUGAACACAAACAUGGAUUUGCCAAACAUGGCCUGUACGAGAAGAAAAAGACCUCAAGGAAGCAGCAAGAGGAACACAAGAACAGAAUGAAGAAAGUCAGGGGGACUGCAAAAGCCAGUGUUGGUGCUGGCAAAAAGUGA